rnacentral:rRNA from 1 species
UGCCAGACUCCUACGGGAGGCAGCAGUGGGGAAUAUUGCACAAUGGGGGAAACCCUGAUGCAGCGACGCCGCGUGAGCGAAGAAGUAUUUCGGUAUGUAAAGCUCUAUCAGCAGGGAAGAAAGUGACGGUACCUGACUAAGAAGCCCCGGCUAAAUACGUGCCAGCAGCCGCGGUAAUACGUAUGGGGCAAGCGUUAUCCGGAUUUACUGGGUGUAAAGGGAGCGCAGGCGGCUUGGCAAGUCUGAUGUGAAAGGCUGGGGCUCAACCCCAGGACUGCAUUGGAAACUGUUAGGCUAGAGUGUCGGGGAGGUAAGCGGAAUUCCUAGUGUAGCGGUGAAGUGCGUAGAUAUUAGGAGGAACACCAGUGGCGAAGGCGGCUUACUGGACUGUAACUGACGUUGAGGCUCGAAAGCGUGGGGAGCAAACAGGAUUAGAUACCCCCGUAACA